UACGUAGGGUGCGAGCGUUAAUCGGAAUUACUGGGCGUAAAGCGUGCGCAGGCGGUUCUCCAAGUCCGUUGUGAAAGCCCCGGGCUCAACCUGGGAAUGGCAGUGGAAACUAGGGGACUGGAAUCUGGAAGAGGGGGGUGGAAUGCCGCGUGUAGCAGUGAAAUGCGUAGAGAUGCGGCGGAACACCGAUGGCGAAGGCAGCCCCCUGGGCCUGUACUGACGCUCAUGCACGAAAGCGUGGGGAGCAAACAGG
rnacentral:rRNA from 1 species